CUCAUGCACACCCAUGCACACCCCCACGGUGCUAGAAUAUUAAUCAGCCUUAAGAAGGAGGGAAGCUCUGACACAUGCUGCAAUAUGGAUGAGCCUUAAAGACAAUGCUCUUCUGCAGCCAGCCCACAGAGACCAGCUGCAAACCUUGAGAUUACUUUAAGGUGACCUUACCAACAGGCACAGGGAAGAUCAUGACUUUUGUGGAGGAAGGAAGUCCAUAAACCACACAAGGCUUUCCUGUAAGUGACAACUCAUCCAUGAAUAAAGAAUCACGUAUAACAUUUGUUAUGGC